AUUGCAGUGGGACUGAAGAGUUUUUAUAUCAAAUAGUUCCUGUAAAUGUGUAGUAUACGAACUCUGUAAUAACGAAGUACAUUAUAACACCAUCAUUGGAUCAGCUUAAUCGAACAGGUGACAAAGUACGGCCCGCGAACGGACUGGGCCCCCUUUUUAGGGUUCCGUAGCCAAAUGGCAAAAAACGGAACCCUUAUAGAUUCGUCAUGUCCGUCUGUCUGUCCGAUUAUGUCACCGCCACUUUUUUCCGAAACUAUAAGGGCUAUACUGUUCAAACUUGGUAAGUAGAUGUAUUCUAUCAACCGCAUUAGGAUUUUUAGACAAAAAUAGAAAAAAAACAAUAAAUUUUGGGGGUUCCCCAUACUUAGAACUGAAACUCAAAAAAUCUUUUUUCAUCAAACCCAUACGUGUGGGGUAUCUAUGGAUAGGUCUUCAAAAAUGAUAUUGAGGUUUCUAAUAUCAUUUUUUUUUCUAAACUGAAUAGUUUGCGCGAGAGACACUUCCAAAGUGGUAAAAUGUGUGUCCGAAGUGGUAAAAUGUUGAACGAGAUCUAGUAAGUAGAUUUUUUUUUAAUACGUCAUAAAUGGUACGGAACCCUUCAUGCGCGAGUCCCACUCGCACUUGGCCGCUUUUUCUUAACAUAUGUUA